rnacentral:rRNA from 1 species
AGCGAACGCUGGCGGCAGGCUUAGCACAUGCAAGUCGAGCGGGCACUUUCGGGUGUCCGCGGCGGACGGGUGAGUAACGCGUGGGAACGUGCCCUCUGGUUCGGAAUAACUCAGGGAAACUUGAGCUAAUACCGGAUACGCCCUUUUGGGGAAAGGCUUGCUGCCGGAGGAUCGGCCCGCGUCUGAUUAGCUAGUUGGUGAGGUAACGGCUCACCAAGGCGACGAUCAGUAGCUGGUCUGAGAGGAUGAUCAGCCACACUGGGACUGAGACACGGCCCAGACUCCUACGGGAGGCAGCAGUGGGGAAUAUUGGACAAUGGGCGCAAGCCUGAUCCAGCCAUGCCGCGUGAGUGAUGAAGGCCUUAGGGUUGUAAAGCUCUUUUAUCCGGGACGAUAAUGACGGUACCGGAGGAAUAAGCCCCGGCUAACUUCGUG